rnacentral:lncRNA from 1 species
UUUAAGGUGUGCUUGGAACCGAUAUAAUCUCGAAAGAGACCGAUGAUGAACUAUGUAAGCAUUGAAGCAGUUGCUAGUGAUUUCAGUGGUAACCGUGCUCUCUCAAGUCUGGAUGCAGAAAGUUGCAAUGAACAAAGAUCGCUUAGGCUGGGUAGCUUGUCAAAAUUACUUCAACAAACAAAAUGAGAUAUCUUGAUAAAGAGCCUAACAAUCGCAUAUGUGGAUGUUUCUUGGAAGGUAGUUCAUAUUGUGGAAUAACUUUUCAAGAAAUUAUAUCUGGAUCUUUUUCCAAUGUAUAAUGACAAUUCAUGAUUUUGUCAGUACCUUUAUGAUUCUGAUAGACUUUCUUAAAACUGUCAUUUCAACAGUGGAAUAUGUGCAGGAUGAAUCACUUGGUAUGAUUUGUAAUGUUGAUAAAAGCACGAGUGAGGAAUCGACAUCAUAUUCAUCUGCUACUCCAGAAAAUCAUGGUUUGUUCUGAUUAUCUGCAACAUUCUUUAACACCAAGCAAUUCAAUAUUGUAUGGUUUGCUUACAUAACUUGUUUUAAUUUAUUUCAGACAUCUUAGAUUGACCAUUAUCAAAUUGUCACUUUAGCCACUGAGGGAAUGGUAAUGAUUGUCUCUUAUUUAAUUGAUUCCUGCACAUGCUUGUUUUCAUCAACUGUUUUGUGUCAAUUUGGUUGCAACAUGUGAUACUAAAAGGAACUCAAUGUGUGAUCAAUUAUUUUUGGACAUUGUUUGCAUUAAUUUCCGGCAUCUCUGUAUAGUUGUUGCUUGUUAGCAUUGGCUUAUCAAAGAAAAAAAAAACAGAAAUUGGUAAUUGGUUUAUUCUUAAAUGAUGAAAGGAUCCUAUAUUGGUUUGAGAAAGAAUCAAAUUUUUGAUGUAUCCUUAGAUUGUAGUGAUGAUUUUUGGUCUUUAUAGACUUUGUGCCCUCCUUGAGUCCCCUCUAAAGGCGUAUAACUUG